AGGCUUUGUGUGUCCCUCCUGAGGCUGCACACUCAGUCAUGGAGGAUGAUUUCACUGAAUAAAUGAGGACUGAUCUUCAGUCCAAGGUCUAGGAGAAGCUGAAUUCCUCUGCUAGGACCUCCCAACAAGCUCUCAGGGCUGUUAUGCAAACCACCAUGCUCACAUAAACCUCGGCUAAAAUUGUCCACAAAUUGCCUCAAGGU
rnacentral:snRNA from 1 species